CACUGACACCUGACACACUCUGUUGAUAGAUUUUUUUUUUUAAGUCAUUAUCUGAGGACGGGAUGGGGAUGAGAUCUCAUAGAGAAGGAGACUAAAGAGAAAGCAGCCUCAGAAAGCAGCCUUAGACUGGCCAACAUUUUGUGCCAGGUAGAAGAGACAAAGAGGUCUGGUCAUAGUGGGAAAUAGGAGAGUGCAGUGUCUUAGAAACCAAGAGAAAAAAAAGGUCUGAAAAAAUAGUGGUCACCAGGGGCUAAUGCCACUGCGAGGUUGCAUAAGAUGAGAUACCAUUGGUGAGGCAGGGUGGUCACUAGGAACUCUAGAGAAAGGAGUUUCAGUGCAGAAGCUGGGUCACAUUGGAAGCAGACAUGGCUUCUGUGAAGAGAUGCAGAACCACAGAUGAGCCAAGUAGACCUGCCAGGCUGGACUAGCUAAGACUGGAGGAUGCAAAUCUAGAUUGGCUCCAGGCUAGGUCCUGCAGAGGGGUGAAGUGACUGUGCCCCAAAUAAAGAAGGCCCCAUCCUCAAGUCUAAACACUCUUCAGCUUGCCACAUGGAGUAAAUGAAUGAAUGGCUUUGGGGCCCUUUCAGGCCUGUGUGUCUCUCUCCACCCAGCACCCCAACUAUGGGCCUGCCUGCUGGAGAAGAAACAAAGCCAGAAAGAAUGGAAGGAGCCUGAGACAGGACCCCCAGUCUGUCCUCCCUGAGGAGGGACAAUAUGGGAUGGUAUACAGCAGGAAACCGAGCCAGGAAACUAAACUUAGGGCACCAGAAAACAGGACAAUAAUGAUGAGAAAAAUGUUUAGAAAGAAUGUGAAAGUUUAUGUAUAUAGGCAUAUUCCCCAGAUUUUUUGAGGUAUGAUUGGCAUAUAAAAAUUUUAUCUAAAAUUUACACCAUGCUGAUUUGAUAUACAUAUUUACUGAAAAUGAAUACUACACAAUCAAGUUGAUAACGCAUCCAUCACUUCAUAGUUACCCUUUUUAUGUCUGCAUUGUGAGAACACUUAAGAUUUAUCAAAUUUCAAGGACAUAAUAGUGUUGCUAACUAUAGUGAUCAUGCUGCACGUUACAUUCCUAAAACUUAUCCAUCUUACAGUGGGAAGUUUGUACUCUUUGACUCCAUCUUCAGCCCCUAGCAAUUACUAUUACACUCUCUGCUUUUGUAGAUUCACCUGAGAUUUCACAUUAAGUGAGAUCAUACAGUAUGUCUUUUUUUGUGGUUGGUUUAUUCCACUUAACAUAAUGCCUGUCUUCCAAGUUCAACCAUGUCCUUACAAGUGGCAGAAUUUCCUUCUUUUUAUGACUGAAUGUAUCUCACAGGUUCUUUAUCCAUUCACCAAUGGAUGGACACUUAGGUAGACACCAUAUCUUGGCUAUUGUGAAUAGUGAUAAUAAACAUGGGAGUGCGGGUAUCUCUUUGGAUACAUAUCCGGAAAUGGGAUUGAUGGAUCCUAUAGUAAUUUUAUUUUAAUUUUUUGAGGAAUCCCCAUACUGUUUUCCAUAAUGGUUGCCCAAUGUAUGAGGAUCCCCGCCCCCACGCCUCCGUCAAUUUUCACCGGCACUUGUUACUUCUUGAUGACCCCACUCUGUCUCCUUGUGGUUUUGAUUUGUGUUUCCCUGAUCACUCGUGAUGCUGAGAACAUUUUCACAUGCUUCUUAGCCAUUUUGUAGGUCUUCUUUGGAAAAAUGUCUAUUCAGGUUCUUUUGGCCAUUUUUAAAUCAGGCUGUUUUUCUACUAUUGAGUUGUAUAAGUUCCUUAUAUAUUGUGGAUAUAAUUCCUUAUUAGACAUAUGGCUUGCAAAUAUUUUCUCCCAUUCCAUAGGUUGUUUCAUUUUGUUGAUUGCUUCCUUUGUUGUGCAGAGCUUUUUAGUUUAUUGUAGUCCUGCUUAGUUUUGCUUUAAUUGCUUGUACUUUGGUGUCAAAUUAAAAAAAAGAAAAAUCACCAAGACUUGUGUAAAAAGCUUCUCUCCUAUUUUCCUCCAGAAGUUUUACAGUUUAGAUUUUACAUUUAAGUAUUUAUAAGUUUUUCUUUAAAGCAUUGAAAUACACAUAAGAAAAAAUGGAACCUGGGGGGCUUUCUUAUGCCUAUCGUAGGCUUUGUUAAUGUGUAUUGUGAUUAGACACAGGAGGACAUCCAAUUCUUUCCAAGGUCUAGGGACUCUAAAGGUUCAGGCUCUCCCUCUGGGGUUCUUGCCUUCCCCUGGAGGCUAGCACUGAAAGCCACCUCCAGGUCCUGACAGCUGGGCCUUGUUCUCAGAAGCCCUCCCUUCUCCUUUCAUUUGCAUCUCAUUAGCACCACUUGGAGCUGGUGGCAGCUCUGCCUGGAGCUUUGGGAGCGGCUGCGUCCGGGCCCAGGCCCUGUUCCCAGCGUGGAGAGGGGUGUAGCGAUGGCUCUCCCCUCCCCCUUUCCUUCCCACAAUCCGCUGCCACUGGGAGGGCGCAGGCGGACGAGGUGUGCCCAGUUCUCCACACCCCCACCCAGGCUCAAGUCGCCUAGGCUCCCGCCCCCGCUCGUUCCCAUGGCAACGGGGUGAUGGAGCGGGGUUGCGGUGCCUGCUGAGGAGCAACGCGGCCACCCAGCUACCCGCCCCUCUGCCGCCCAGGCUAGAUUGGUGACAGGCACGGCCUCAAUCUCCCGAGAUGAUCGGCGAUAAUUGGUUUAUGGAAAUAGCUGAGAGGAGAAGGCGAGCUCUCUGCUAGAAACCAGCCUCCCCGCCAAGCCCGCUCUCGGCCACCUGUCCUUCCCUCACCACGGAAAUGGAGGUGGGGGAAGGGAGGCCCGAGGAGCUGGGCUGGCGCAAAUGGGUUUUGGAGGCAAGCAAGACCAGCUUUUCACCUGUUGGUCUCCAGCAUGGCACCUCUCCCCCUUUCCCUGUGUGUGGGAGGCGGGGCUGCUUGUUAUACUCAGGUGUGGGUAUAACAAGCUAUCAUGGGGCUUUUAAUCCUUUAGUGCACCCCAUAGCCCCAGCCAGCAGUCUGUGCUCAGUCCUGUGUUGGGUGCAUUGUUGCAGAAAUGGAGAAUGAAACUUGGGACCCUCAGGGAGCCUCAGUUAGGGGGAUAAAAGAGAAGCACAUAAACCAUAUUUAUAUAAAGUAUUUCAGACCAGUGUUGUUACUACUGCGGGGCUCCAGAGGAUCAAGAGCUCAACUCUGGUGGCUGCCUGGAGGAGGCAUCUUGGUCAAGGCAUUGAAGCAUCUAAACUUGCCUGGUGUUACCAUGGCCAGCAGGAGGAAGAUCCUGUUAGAGCAAUAAAACCUACUUGGGGAGUGAAACCCCUUCACCAAGGCACCAGUGGGGGCAGAGCUGGAACUGGAGCCAGGGUCUGUGUGUCCGCAUGAUCGGAGGCCUCUGCUCUGCCCAAACCACGUUGCUUUGAAUGUGGGGCUCAUUCUCUGGACUGUAACCCCUGUAACCUGAGUACUCAUUGACAGUAGGGAGAGGUUGUGACAUCUGGGGCAAGAAAGCCUUUCAAAAAAAAUGACGCAGAGCUGGUGGUACAGCUCAGUGGCAGAGCACGUGUGAGGCCCUGGGUUCCAUCCCUAGCUCCAAGCAGGGGAGAAAAGAAGAUGACACGAAAGUCAAAAAUCAUAAAGAAUUAAGUUUGAUUAUGUUUUUUAAAAUCCAUACCAAUUUUUUUUAAUAUUUAUUUUUUAGUUUUUCGGUGGACACAACAUCUUUAUUUUUUUUUUUUUAUGUGGUGCUGAGGAUCAAACCCAGCGCCCCGCGCAUGCCAGGCGAGCGCGCUACCACUUGAGCCACAUCCCCAGCCCAGUAUACCAAUUUUUUUAUAAUGGCCCCAAAUUUACCACAAUGCCCCCCCCUAAAAAAGACAAAAGGGAAAGUUGCAAUAAAUAAAAAGGAUUAAAAUAUCUAACACACAAAGCACUGAAAUCUAUAAAUAUCAUCACAAUAGAAGAUCUGAUCUGGGGAUUCACAAAAGAAGAAAUAUGAAUAUAUAAUGCUUUAUAUACAUUAUGAACAUCCUUGUGGAGGAUUCUACCCAGCUAUUAAAGUUUUUCUGAGCUGAA